rnacentral:rRNA from 1 species
GACAGAGGGUGCAAGCGUUAUCCGGAAUUAUUGGGCGUAAAGCGUCCGCAGGCGGCCUUGAAAGUCUGUUGUUAAAGCGUGGAGCUCAACUCCAUUUCAGCAAUGGAAACUACAAGGCUAGAGUGUGGUAGGGGCAGAGGGAAUUCCCGGUGUAGCGGUGAAAUGCGUAGAUAUCGGGAAGAACACCAGUGGCGAAGGCGCUCUGCUGGGCCAUAACUGACGCUCAUGGACGAAAGCCAGGGGAGCGAAAGGG